CAUUACAGAGUUCAUGCCCUACACGGGUAGAUCUCCCACCCUUUGUUAUCAUUACCUUCGUUGCUUUGGCGGGCCGUCAGGCCUCGGUCAGGCUACCGGCUCUAGCUGGUAAGCGCCCGCCAGAGGACCCCAAACUCUGAAUAUUAGUGUCGUCUGAGUACUAUAUAAUAGUUAAAACUUUCAACAACGGAUCUCUUGGUUCUGGCAUCGAUGAAGAACGCAGCGAAAUGCGAUAAGUAAUGUGAAUUGCAGAAUUUAGUGAAUCAUCGAAUCUUUGAACGCACAUUGCGCCCCUUGGUAUUCCGAGGGGCAUGCCUGUUCGAGCGUCAUUACAACCCUCAAGCAAUGCUUGGUAUUGGGCUCCGCUGCUCACCCAGCCAGCCUUAAAAUCAGUGGCGGUGCCGUUGGGCCCUGAGCGUAGUAAACAUCCUCGCUAUAGGGACCCGGUGGACACUAGCCAUCAACCCCCAUUUUCCAAGUUUGACCUCGGAUCAGGUAGGGAUACCCGCUGAACUUAAGCAUAUCAA
rnacentral:rRNA from 1 species